rnacentral:rRNA from 1 species
GACGAACGCUGGCGGCGUGCUUAACACAUGCAAGUCGAACGGAAAGGCCCCUUUGUUGGUACUCUAGUGGCGAACGGGUGAGUAACACGUGAGUAACCUGCCCUUGACUUCGGGAUAACUUCAGGAAACUGGGGCUAAUACCGGAUAGGAAUCCUUGCUUCAUGGUGGUGGUUGGAAAGCUUCGGCGGUUUUGGAUGGACUCUCUGCUUAUCAGCUUGUUGGUUGGGUUGUGGGUUACCAAGGCUUUGAGGGGAAGCGGGCCUGGGUGGGCGACCGGCCACAGAGGAACUGACGUGAGGCAGAGGCUCCGACGGGAGGCAGAAGGGGGGAAUAUUGCACGAGGGGCGGAAGCCUGGUGCAGCAACGCCGCGUGAGGGAUGACGGCCUUCGGGUUGAAAAACGCUUUCAGCAGUGGCGAAGCUUGUGGUGACGGUACCUACAGAAGAAGCACCGGCUAACUACGUG